AGUUCCUAUACGGUUGCGCGUGCGCGUUCACAGCGAACGGAUACGUCUUCCUCCUCUCGUCGAUCAUGAGCAUCCAAACGGCCCUCAUGCUACCCAGGUUGUUUUACUACACCUUGUUCCAUCUGAUUGCAGCCGGUUGUUACAUAUUUGGCGGUGUUGGCUGCGUUGGGAACUCAUCUGUCAUCGAUGGGAUCAUUGCAAUUGUUUGCGGAGGCUUACAUUUCGUCCAUUUCAUUUACUCCCUGCUCAAAAACUGAGAGCAUGCGGUUCAUACGCACGAGACCUGUGCUAUGACGCGACAAAAUUAGGACUGGUGACGUACCAUUCAGGGGCCAAACGUCAUGAGACCGCGGAAACUGCUAUUAGCUUCCAAACGUGGCCAGCAUGCAUGACGCGGAGGGCCU